AAGAAGAAGAGUGCAGCGCAUCGGUGCAAAAAGUUUCAGGUGUACCGAUGCUGAAGAUGAGUUGUAUUUAAGGUGCACCUAUGACAUGGCCUGCACGAAUCAUUCGGCUGUGGACUUCAUCAAGGAAGCCAGGACACACUUGGUGAAAAAUCUGAAACACCAGGAGCUCAUUGCCCAGAAGCUUGAAGAGUUAGGUGUGUUCAAUUUUGAUAAUGUCACAGCGGUGACUGCAGAAAAGAAUCCUUUAACCCAAACCAGACAUAUUUUAGAAUUUGUCAUCAAAAAGGGGGAGAAAGCAAGCUACCUGUUCCUCAGGAUUCUGGAUGGUGAAAGGAACUUGACUUUACCAAAGGAUGCCACACCUGACUUGCACUACUGGAUCAGCUGUUUCCCCUUCAGAGAGGAGUCAGAUUUGCAGCCCACUGGCCCCAGAUCAUGCCAGCUAUACCAGGCACAGCUCAAAACCAAAGCCCAGAAAAUCCUCAACGCUCACACAGCGCAAAUCAAUUUUGUUUGUGGUAGAAAUGCAGUGCA